GAUGAUGGACUAGAUGGCCACUGAGGAGCCUUCCAGCUCCAAUGCUGGGAUCCUAAGGUCCUGCUCAGUUUCUACACCCUAUGUUCUGUUUUAUAACCUGCCCUGUUCUAAAUCACAGAAAAGCAGCGUGGUCCAGGAGGAGAAAUACUGGACUUAAAAUCGGGGAUCUGGGCUUGGAUCUCGGUUCUAUGGUAGCUUGUCUAGGCGGACGUGGGCCAAUCCCUUAUUAUCUGGAGCCCCGGUUCCCUUCCAGCCCUAAAUCGAUGAUACUGUGAUCCCAAGAUGCUUCUGGGCUCUGUAGCCCCGCCCUGGGGCUGCCUGACUCACCUCCCUCUUCUCAUCAUUACUUUAUUCCACCUGGCCAGGACAUUCUACAAGUGGUCGCCACGGUCACUUCUCCUCCUCCUCCCAGCGAUUAUUGGUCAGAAGAACGAAAGCCCCAGGGAGCGGUAGGAGGCUGUGGGGACAUGAAUGAUCCGGGCCACUUGUCCACCUUCCCCUGAGAAACCACUGGGGUCAUUUGUCGCAUCUAGGAAAGAGACGCUGCGCUCCACUCUUCUGUGGGGCUCUGAGCAACAGGGGGAGGACUUGAAUCGGGUCCCAGGUCGGCCAGGAAAAGCAAAGACAAUAUUUGCCCAAGUUAUUGGUCUGAGAAAAACCCUCGGUAACCCUUAAAGAGGUAGAAUAAAAUAAACUGCUCUCAUUCUCUGCUCUCA